CCUACGGGCGGCAGCAGUGGGGAAUAUUGCACAAUGGGCGGAAGCCUGAUGCAGCGACGCCGCGUGAGGGAUGACGGCCUUCGGGUUGUAAACCUCUUUCAGCAGGGAAGAAGCCACAAGUGACGGUACCUGCAGAAGAAGCGCCGGCUAACUACGUGCCAGCAGCCGCGGUAAUACGUAGGGCGCAAGCGUUGUCCGGAAUUAUUGGGCGUAAAGAGCUCGUAGGCGGUUUGUCGCGUCUGCUGUGAAAGCCCGGGGCUCAACCCCGGGUCUGC
rnacentral:rRNA from 1 species